UGGUGGCCUUUGAGUUCCCCAAUGCAUCUUGUUUCUAGAGACAGAAAGGUGCUUCAUUAUCAUCCUGCGAUGUUUAAUAAUUCAACCCAACUAACAUUUAUCCAACCCUAACCAUGGUUAGGCAUGGAGGCUGCAAAGAAAGAGGAGGAAGGGCUUGGAGAGCAAAAAGAAAGAAGAGAUUCCUACAGACCUGAUAAGAACUCAAGAUGAGGUCCUGUGUAGCAGGAGAACUUGCCCUUCUGUGGCUAUGCCAGCUACAGAACCCAGCUCAAGAGCCCUGAAAUUCAAGAUCCACCCUCCAUGCCCUUCUGCAGCGUCACUUAUGGAGACACUCUCACAUGCAAGCACAUGGGUAAAGGGAAAUGAAAUGCACCAGCGUGGGUGACAUUGCAAAGCCGCUGCACAUCUCCAUGACCUCCACUGAGGGAACACCAAGUAAAUUAUGCACAUCCAUUAAAUAGAUUCAUA